rnacentral:ncRNA from 1 species
AGGUACCGCUUUAAAUUUCGUGUUCGCGCCACUCGGUACAAGUGGUGGGCACG